GGCUAGUCCAAUGGUAGUGGUUUAUCAGAACUUACUAACAUCAGUGUCACUAAAGUUGGUAUACAACAUCCCCCACACUGCUAAAUUUGACUGAAUUUUU
ensembl:misc_RNA Y_RNA Y RNA